GACGAACGCUGGCGGCGUGCUUAACACAUGCAAGUCGAACGGAAAGGCCCUGCUUUUGUGGGGUGCUCGAGUGGCGAACGGGUGAGUAACACGUGAGUAACCUGCCCUUGACUUUGGGAUAACUUCAGGAAACUGGGGCUAAUACCGGAUAGGAGCUCCUGCUGCAUGGUGGGGGUUGGAAAGUUUCGUCGGUUGGGGAUGGACUCGCGGCUUAUCAGCUUGUUGGUGGGGUAGUGGCUUACCAAGGCUUUGACGGGUAGCCGGCCUGAGAGGGUGAACGCCCACAUUGGGACUGAGAUACGGCCCAGUGUCCUACGGAAGGCAGCAGUGGGGAAUAUUGCACAAUGGGCGGAGGCCUGAUGCAGCAACGCCGCGUGCGGGAUGACGGCCUUCGGGUUGUAAGCCGCUUUCGCCUGUGACGAAGCGUGAGUGACGGUAAUGGGUAAAGAAGCACCGGCUAACUACGUG
rnacentral:rRNA from 1 species